AUGGACAUCUUUUGGAGGAACACUGGAUCUGCUCCCAUGUCCCUCCAUCUCUCGGAGAGAAGAAACACAGUAUGUACUAGCUACCUGAUUAUUGGACUGCUCAUUACAAUGCUUGGUUUGUCACUCAUAUUGUUUGGCCUAUUUUAUGCUCACCAAGAUGUCGAGCAAACCUAUCAUUCUUUUUUGGGGGUGUUGUGUGUAAUUCAUGGGGUUGGGACCUUCCAAACCUUCACUUCGGGAAUAAAUGAUCAGGCUCUCAGUGCUCAAAAUCAGCAAAACAUGUUAAAAGGGCAGUUUCAAAUAAACCAUGCUGGCCGAUUGCCAACCACUCCCAUUGUAUUGUUUGCAAGCUAUGCUAGGCCACGUCUUGGUUUUGUCAUGCUGACUUUUUUCUGA
rnacentral:rRNA from 1 species